rnacentral:rRNA from 1 species
GUGCCAGCAGCCGCGGUAAUACGUAGGGUGCGAGCGUUGUCCGGAAUUAUUGGGCGUAAAGAGCUUGUAGGCGGUUUGUCGCGUCUGCUGUGAAAGCCCGGGGCUUAACCCCGGGUCUGCAGUGGGUACGGGCAGGCUAGAGUGUGGUAGGGGAGACUGGAAUUCCUGGUGUAGCGGUGGAAUGCGCAGAUAUCAGGAGGAACACCGAUGGCGAAGGCA